AAAAAGCAGGAACUUUAGUAGCUGGAAUAUUCAUUUUUUCACCAGUUUUAGGAUUACGACCUUCACGUGCUUUUCUGUCACGGCUUUCAAAGGAGCCAAAACCAACGAGGGUUACUUUUUCUCCGCUCGAAACUGCUUCCAUGAUUGC
rnacentral:snRNA from 1 species